GGUCAGCUGACACAUGCCUGCCAAUCUCCGGCAGACCCUCCCUCCUAGACCCUCCUACUUCCUGGACAGCAUCCAUGUUGAAGGCAGCUUCAACAUGGAUGCUGUCCAGGAGGUGGGAGGGUCUGGGAGGGAGGGUCUGCCGGAGAUUGCAGGGAUGUGUCAG
rnacentral:miRNA from 1 species